rnacentral:rRNA from 1 species
GACGAACGCUGGCGGCGUGCCUAAUACAUGCAAGUCGAGCGCAGGAAGUCGACGGAACCCUUCGGGGGGAAGUCGACGGAAUGAGCGGCGGACGGGUGAGUAACACGUAAAGAACCUGCCCUCAGGUCUGGGAUAACCACGAGAAAUCGGGGCUAAUACCGGAUGGGUCAUCGGACCGCAUGGUCUGAGGAUGAAAGGCGCUCCGGCGUCGCCUGGGGAUGGCUUUGCGGUGCAUUAGCUAGUUGGUGGGGUAUGGCCCACCAAGGCGACGAUGCAUAGCCGACCUGAGAGGGUGAUCGGCCACACUGGGACUGAGACACGGCCCAGACUCCUACGGGAGGCAGCAGUAGGGAAUCUUCCACAAUGGACGAAAGUCUGAUGGAGCAACGCCGCGUGAACGAUGAAGGCCUUCGGGUCGUAAAGUUCUGUUGUAAGGGAAGAACAAGUGCCGCAGGCAAUGGCGGCACCUUGACGGUACCUUGCGAGAAAGCCACGGCUAACUACGUGCCAGCCGCCGCAGUAAAAC